CCUACGGGGGGCAGCAGUGGGGAAUAUUGCGCAAUGGGCGAAAGCCUGACGCAGCGACGCCGCGUGAGGGAUGAAGGCCUUCGGAUCGUAAACCUCUGUCAGCAGGGAAGAACGGUCACUGUGCUAAUCAGCAGUGAAUUGACGGUACCUGCAAAGGAAGCACCGGCUAACUCCGUGCCAGCAGCCGCGGUAAUACGGAGGGUGCGAGCGUUAAUCGGAAUUACUGGGCGUAAAGCGCUCGUAGGCGGGAUGUCAAGUCAAGGGUGAAAUCCCCGGGCUCAACGUGGGAACUGCCGUUGAAACUGGCAAACUUGAGUGUGUGAGAGGAUAGUGGAAUUCCAGGUGUAGGAGUGAAAUCCGUAGAUAUCUGGAGGAACAUCAGUGGCGAAGGCGACUAUCUGGCACAUAACUGACGCUGAGGAGCGAAAGCGUGGGUAGCAAACAGGAUUAGAUACCCGAGUAGUC
rnacentral:rRNA from 1 species